UCUAGCAGUAUAAAGCAAAUU
rnacentral:piRNA from 1 species